CCUCACCAGAACCGAUGAUCUUCUCAAUAUGGAUCCUGGAGGCUUCGAUCUCGCGACUGAAGCUACGCCGGGCUCGCCCAGGCUCCUCAGCUGAAGAGAAAUUCUCCCUCCAACGUUCGACAUGGAGAUCUACAAGGCGCAGAGCUCACCACCUGAAGGCUGCUCCGCCUUUGCGACGGUUCUCGAGAGUGAAUGAUUUCCCCCGACAUUAGGCCAGUAUCUGAGUCUCUGUAGCUUCCAGUCACCAUUCCUGGCUCUGCGUGCUGGGCUCGAGCCAAAUAGAUCCGAUUCCUUUUCCCCAUGGCACCCCUUCAAAUACUAAAUGAGCUUGCAUGCCUCUA